AAGGAUGCAGGGCUGCUAGAAAACACGAGACAAUGCCAUCUGUGCUAAACUGGAUGUCCCCAAACUGUGUGUCAAGUGGAAGGAGUGAAACAUGCAAGGUACGAUGGGAUCGUAAGCUUCCUGAGGGCAGGGUGACGGUGUGACCUGUUAACAGCUGGACCUAGUAGGAGGGGAGCGUCUGCUAUUGGGGGCAGAGAAAAGGGUUGAUGCUACGGAAAAGCAGUUGACUCCUCCAGGCCAAGAAGGGUGAUAGCAAGAGGCAGACCGUCAGAGGUUGUCCAGGGGCCCUGCCGGCACGCCUCCGAGGCUCCAGAUCUCGUCUGCCAAAGGAGCCGGUGUAGGAACUGGACGUCUCAGUGAUAACCAUUGGCAAUCACAACUGUUAGUGACAGCUACUUACUGAGAUCCUGCCACGUGACAGGCCUGUCUUCCAACGACCCUCUGUGAAAGGAAGUUACAACCUACACUCACAGGCUUAGCUCUGCCUCCUCCACGAGGCCCACAGUGAAGCCAUGAGGUCCUGCAGCCCCCCUGAACCACCACAGCACUGAGCCCCCACAUCGAAGGCCUGCACCAUUCAACCAGACACUCUCUGAGCGCCUACUCUGCGCAUCGGGGCCCCCGCUGGCUUUUGGGAGACGAGGAUAAAUGCCUCCACACAUUCACAUUUCCUGUUCCCCAGCCAUCAGCAUGGUUUCAUUAUUCUCAAUCCCUCCCAUCAUUAGAGAUUCUAUUAUAUUACCAGUCAUCACUUUAUGGAGCUGCCAACCCAUGCUUCCUCCGUAACUGGGUUUACACCUUUCGCUCAUGAGCAGGAAAACUUAACAGUUUCCAGCGGUCUGUGAAGGCCCCCGAGCAACUUCCGUCAGCUUUGUGAUCGACUGAAGCUAGUUUGUUUGUGAUCCCUCCCCCAUCAAAAUGUCCAAACUAGGUUUUCAGAAAGGCCCAAAGUGAGAAAGUUUUAGCCGCUUCAGAUGCUGCAACGGGCCCAUUUCUCACCGUGCAGGUUCUCCAGUUUGUCUUUACCUGACUGCUGGGUGACAGCGACUUACCUGGUCAUUUCACGGCUCAGGAGGCAUCUGUCCUGGCUGUGCUAGGCUGGGCCUGGCUGGGAAAUCACCUCAGGUUCCCUUCCCGAUUUGGGGCCUGUUCUCCCCCGGAGUCCCACAGGACCAACGCAACCUAUUCC